rnacentral:piRNA from 1 species
UAUGUUGCAGAUGUGCAGCUUGGUCUUCAC